rnacentral:rRNA from 1 species
UAGCGUAUAUUAAAGUUGUUGCGGUUAAAAAGCUCGUAGUUGGAUCUCAGUUCCGGACUGACGGUACACCGCCUGGUGCUUACUGUCACGCUCCGAACAGCUAACUAGCCCCGCCGGCUCGCACGGGGUGCUCUUCAUCGAGUGUCCCGAGUGGCCGGCACGUUUACUUUGAAAAAAUUAGAGUGCUCAGAGCAGGCUACUUUAAUGGCCUGAAUGUCUAUGCAUGGAAUAAUGGAAUAGGACCUCGGUUCUAUUUUGUUGGUUUUCGGAACCUGAGGUAAUGACUAAUAGGAACAGGCGGGGGCAUUCGUACUGCGACGCUAGAGGUGAAAUUCUUGGACCGUCGCAAGACGAACUACUGCGAAAGCAUUUGCCAAGGAUGUUUUCAUUAAUCAAGAACGAAAGUUAGAGGUUCGAAGGCGAUCAGAUACCGCCCUAGUUCUAACCAUAAACGAUGCCAACUAGCGAUCCGCCGGCGUUAUUCCCAUGACCCGGCGGGCAGCUUCCGGGAAACCAAAGUCUUUGGGUUCCGGGGGAAGUAUGGUUGCAAAGCUGAAACUUAAAGGAAUUGACGGAAGGGCACCACCAGGAGUGGAGCCUGCGGCUUAAUUUGACUCAACACGGGGAACCUCACCAGGCCCAGACACCGGAAGGAUUGACAGAUUGAGAGCUCUUUCUCGAUUCGGUGGGUGGUGGUGCAUGGCCGUUCUUAGUUGGUGGAGCGAUUUGUCUGGUUAAUUCCGAUAACGAACGAGACUCUGGCCUAUUAACUAGUCGACGGAUCUCCAGCAAUUGGUGUCCAGUUCGCAACUUCUUCUUAGAGGGAUUAGCGGCAAUUCUAGCCGCACGAGAUUGAGCA